ensembl:lncRNA
GCUGUUACUCCAGGACUCUGAGGUGAGGUGAGGUGUAGAGUCAACUACAGUCAUGUCUUGUAAGUAGACUUUCUGAACCCUGAAUUUCUUUGGCAGGACUCUUCCUGUUGCUGCACUGUAUUUGGUCAGCAAACGUGUACACCACCUGUGCUCCUGUGCUCAGUGUGCUUGGUUUGAUAUGCAGUAUUGUUGUAAUGUCAUUCAUCACUAUAACAUGUGGCUUAAGUUUCUAAAUGUGUUUGCCACUGUAUAUUCUGUCACAUGCACAAACUGUAAAUUAAUUUUUUAAAAAAGGCUUUAAAUGUUACAGAGUUUCAGUAAUUUGGUGAGUCACUUAGUCAAGUUGUUCGUUUUGUGGUGUGUGUGUGUGUGCGUCCUACACUCUCAGGAGUGUGGGACAGAAGUGUGGUUUCUGUCUCAGUAAUUACUUGGCUUUUCCAUGCCAGCAUGCCUGGAGACACACCAACACAUUCCUACCCUCUCUCUCUUUCUCUCUCUCUUUAGCUCCUUUGUUAAAAAAUAUAUGAACUUCUCUCUUUUCUUUUUUUUGCUGAACACUUCUCAGCUUUCAUACUUUGUUAAAUGUUUUACCAUCGCCGUCCUCUUUACUGUCACACCUCUGUUUAUUUUUCACUUCAAAUUCUUCAGCCCAAAUGUGUGUGUGUGUUAAGAGGAGGGCCUAAAACCAUCAAUUCCUUGAUUUCACAUCAAUGAAUCUUUGAACAUGUUCCACACCAAUACCAUCAUUGUUAUCGUAUAAAGCUAACGAAUAUAGAUUAACCCUAACCCUACCCUAAAGGAAAGCUUUCCAUCUUAGAUGUCGCUGGAGGGAGGUUUUGUCAGGUUUAGCAAUCUUCUGGGGACAAUUUUGUCCCCAAACUAUAGCUUUGUAAUCCCCCCACAAACACACACAGGGCUCCUGUUCCUCAUUAGGCAGAAGGCUCUUUCAUGGUCAGAUCCAAUAAAACUUGAAUGCGUCUGUCUGGAGCAAACAUGGGCAGAGAAGCUUAUUUGUGUAAUUAUUGCAGCACAACCCCGUAGCAGAUCUUCCGCCACCUGCCACGACAACCACUCCAGCUCUACAGGGGCUCGACCACAUUACCCCACGUCAGCAAGCCCACGUCACCCUUCUCAGAGGGGUGACUGUCUUUUUUGUUACAUCACAGACGUGUCAUAUUAUGAUGACCAGUCAGCUGAGUGGGCAUGGAUGAGUCAGCCCUCUCCAAAAGGCUUUGAUCAUAUGACCGGACAGACCUGAAUACAGGUCCAAAACCAAACUGCAUUCAGUGGCUUUUCAGCUUCCUGAAGACCUGACUCACCGAGACCAAGCUGAACAAACAUAAAUGCCACUAGGCAACCUCAUUCACCGUGAGACCAGUGCAUGGGUCAAGACCAGCAAAUCUGAUGGACCUUUGGUAAUAACUGCACCAUGAAAUUCAGCUGGGUUUAGUUGAGUUCUGACUCUGUGGGAGAGGAUAUGCCACCACUGCUGCUAUUCUUGUGUAGAUGAGAUGAAUUUGUUCCCUUCAUUCUCUGAAAUGGCAUCUCUCUCUCUCUCUCUCUCUCUCUCUCUCUCUCGCUCGACAGAAUACUGUGUUCAUGCACAGGCUGCCAUAUAAACCUGCAUCAAGGCGUUUGCUUUGUUUGAUUCGAGAUUGUUAUAUAAUGAGUGAAUUGAGCCUGAAUUUGAGAAGCUACAUUUGUUUAGCUAUUAUGAAACUCUAAUAUUCAGAUCUCAGCUGACAGAUACUUUUACAUUUUCUUUGAUUUUGUAGCUAAUAAAGAUCUGAAUUUAACUGCUUAUCA